rnacentral:lncRNA from 1 species
CACGUUAUUACACUAACCAGCCAAACGAAACAUAAUUUUUCUCCUUGUAUUAUAACAAAAUUUGACCACAAAAGCUCGAAGGCAUGUCUCAUCCUCUGAUUCUUUUGAGCUUUUAAGCCAUGUAUCUGGAUUUGGGGCAAUUUGCCUAUUCAUGAUUUUAAGAAGUCCAGGACAAACCGAGCAUGAAACACCAAAUACAAAAUCAUUAUGCUCUCUAUUGAUCAAAAACAUGGGUUGUCUCUUGAUUGCUUACCAAAUAGAAAGCCAGAAUCGAUGGCACACUUACUGGUUAUCUACAUUUGCUCGAUCAAUGGCAUUACAAGUGUGUGGCAGCAAUUCACGAGUUCUACAAUCUACAGAAGUAGCAAAAGGAUCAUAAGGACAUACCACAAUUCAAUUAGUUGAGGGCCAAUCAUUGCGCAGAAUCAACAUCACUGACCACAGAUCCAACAGCAUUGAUUUAUACUGAUUCACCACUGCGCCGCCUGCUUGACACUAUCUAUUUGACUGAUUCUCCUCUGUUUUGGUUGCAAGAAUCCUUUGCUUAGCAAAGAGAGAACCUACAGACCCACCUUUGGUAAGGUUCAGUAAAAAUAUGACCAUAACAAUAUGUCCACCAUGAAUUCACAUUGCAGUAGGGUAUAUGCACUCGGUCUCAAUGAUAAAAUAUAAUAAGUCA